CUUGGUCAUUUAGAGGAAGUAAAAGUCGUAACAAGGUCUCCGUUGGUGAACCAGCGGAGGGAUCAUUACCGAGUUUACAACUCCCAAACCCAAUGUGAACGUUACCAAACUGUUGCCUCGGCGGGGUCACGCCCCGGGUGCGUCGCAGCCCCGGAACCAGGCGCCCGCCGGAGGAACCAACCAAACUCUUUCUGUAGUCCCCUCGCGGACGUAUUUCUUUACAGCUCUGAGCAAAAAUUCAAAAUGAAUCAAAACUUUCAACAACGGAUCUCUUGGUUCUGGCAUCGAUGAAGAACGCAGCGAAAUGCGAUAAGUAAUGUGAAUUGCAGAAUUCAGUGAAUCAUCGAAUCUUUGAACGCACAUUGCGCCCGCCAGUAUUCUGGCGGGCAUGCCUGUCCGAGCGUCAUUUCAACCCUCGAACCCCUCCGGGGGAUCGGCGUUGGGGAUCGGGACCCCUCACACGGGUGCCGGCCCCUAAAUACAGUGGCGGUCUCGCCGCAGCCUCUCCUGCGCAGUAGUUUGCACAACUCGCACCGGGAGCGCGGCGCGUCCACGUCCGUAAAACACCCAACUUUCUGAAAUGUUGACCUCGGAUCAGGUAGGAAUACCCGCUGAACUUAAGCAUAUCAAUAAGCGGA
rnacentral:rRNA from 1 species